rnacentral:misc_RNA from 1 species
UUUCCGUAGGUGAACCUGCGGAAGGAUCAUUCAUAAUAAAGUGUUUUAUGGCACUUUUUAAAAAUCCAUAUCCACCUUGUGUGCAAUGUUAGAUCUCGUCAAUCUUGGCGAGAUUUUUAUACAUCAACCCAUUCUUUAACUAAUUUGUCUGAAAAAUAUUAUGAAUACUUAAUUCAAAAUACAACUUUCAACAACGGAUCUCUUGGCUCUC